rnacentral:lncRNA from 1 species
GUUCCCAGGUGAUGCUGGUAGAGCACACGCCCAGAACCACCGCCAGGUACACAAGUCACUGGACAAGGUGGGAAGGCAUCUUACUCAAUCAAUGGACCUUAUUCUAAAGCGGGAAGGGCACUGAGAGGAGGGUAUCUCUCAAAUGAGGAGUCUACGACCUGCUUCAGGGGAAGGCCAACAACUUCUUGGAUUUUAUGACCUGCUUCAGGGGAGAAGGACAAGGGAAGUACAGCGCCUACAACAAUGCAAAGGCUAGAAGGAAUGAAGGCAGGGACAUGGAAUGGAGAAUUUCCAUUUCACGGAUCCACAUAAACUGAAAAGGAACAAGAGUCGGUGAGACCAAAGAGCACUGAAGGCCAUGAACCACCACCAUUCUCAACCCCUGGGCCAGGCAAGAAAAGCCACGGUUCCUGGAAGGGAUGACGACAGGCUUACUGAAUUAUUUUCAUCCAUGCCCUUUUAAAAUAUGGUUGGUAGAAAUUUGCCAUUUGAGACUAGAAUCCCAUUCGGAAUCAUGUAAGUCUCUUUUGACUCCACGAGGACAUCUUUCACCCAGUUUUGGGAAAUCUGAGGAAUGGAUUCUUCUACAGACUGAUAAAAUAUCACAAGGUCCAAGAGUUUGUGUGAGAAAGAGGACAUCAAGUGAUGGAUGUGAACGUGGUAGACAUACAAUGGAAGGCAAGAAGGUAUCUCAACACAGCAGAACAAGACCCCAUGAGGAGCCCAGAAAAAAAAUAAAGAAGGUUCCUCACUGGUUAGGAAUUCAAAAGCAGUCCUGGCAACCUCAUAGCAUCUUUACCUCAGAAGCAGGCAGCUCUGGUUACUCCACCAUUUUCAGGAACAAGGUUUUUCUCUCCCCCUCUGCUGCAUUUCCUCUGCGGCUCCUGAUCCAUCUGCCUCUACCUUCUUCCUAGCAUCAAAUUUCCUCCCAGGAGACAACAUGAAUGGGUUAAGAAGUACCCAAUGAGGGCUGCUCCAACUGGACAGCAUCUUUGAAACUGGGACCUCACAGAUGGUCAUCACAGGCCCCUGAUGCCUGGGUACCCAGCGACCAACCCCAGUCUAGUCUGUCUAUAGCAACAUAGGUGAAGGGGAGUCUCAGGGGCUGCCUAAAGGGCUCAGAAUGUGGUGAGUACUUAAGACUGCAUGGAUUUUCACUGUUUACAUGAAUAUAGGACAAGUAUUCACAGAACUAUUAGCUAGAUCUGUGAACAAAACAUUAAUAACAUUGUAUGUCCAUGUCUGAACCCCUGAAAUUCCAACAACCACCACCCGCCUACCAACUUGCAGCAAACCGGCUCUCUCCACAGUCUUCCCCAGAUCAGGGAGAAACAAUUCCAUCCUUCCAGUACUCAGACUGUAAAACUGGAUUCAUUCUGAUUCCUCUCUCACACAUCCCACACCUGAUCUGACAGGAAAUCCUAUAAACUCUGCCAUUAAAAUAUAUCCAGAAACAGGCCAGGCACAAUGGCUCAUGCCUCUAAUCCCAGCACUUUGGGAGGUCGAGGCGGGCGGAUCAUGAGGUCAGGAGUUCGAGACCAGCUUGGCCUACAUGGCAAAACCCUGUCUCUACUAAAAAUACAAAAAUUAGCUAGGUGUGGUGAUGCACACCUGUAAUCCCAGCUACUUGGGAGGCUGAGCUAGGAGAAUCACUUGAACCCGGGAGGCACAGGCUGCAGUAAGCCAAGAUCGUGCCACUGCACUCCAGCCUGGGCGACAGAGUAAGACUCUGUCUCAAAAAAAAAAAAUAUAUAUAUAUAUAUAUAUAUGUCCAGUAAUGUGCAACUUUCACAGUCUCCACCAGGAUCAUCACAGUCUAACCACUGCUUCCUCCAGCCUGAACUUACUGCAAGAGGCCACUCACUGGUCUCCAGGCAUCCACUCUUGCUUCCCCCACGCACCCCACCACCAGUGUCUAUUCUCAACAGAGCAGCCAAAAUUGUCCUUUUAAACAUUGGUUGGAUUGUGUCUUCUGUCUGUUCAAAACUCUCCAGUAUGUCCACAUGGAUCUCAAAAUAAAACCAAAGUUCUGGCCAGGCACAGUGGUUCGUGUCUGUAAUCCCAGCACUUUGGGAGGCUGAGAAGGGAGGGUGGCUGGAGCCCAGGAAUUCAAGACCAGCCUGGGCAACAUGGCAAAACCCCAUCUCUCCAAAAAAUACAGAAAUUUGCUAGGCGAGGUGAUGUGUGUUUGUAGUCCCACCUACUCAGGAGGCUGAGGUGGAAGGAUCACUUGAACCCAGGAGGUUGAGGCUGCAAUGAGCUGUGAUCACGUCACUGCACUCCAGCCUGGGUGACAGAAUGAGACUCUGCCAAAAAAAAAAAUUCAAAGUUCUUACCACAGCCUACAAGACCUGCCAUGACCUGGUCCUUCCUACCACCUGUCUCAUCUUUGCACUCUCACUCACUCUGUACCAACCACACUGGCCUCCUGGAUGUUUCUGGAACAUACCAAACAUGCUCUAAUCACCAGUCUUUGCACUGGAUUUUUCUUCAUUCUGGGAUGUUCUUCCCUUGGAACUCCACAGGGCUAACCCCCACAGUUCCUGCACAUCUAUCAAUGAUGUUUAACAAACCACCCCACUUCGCCUCUGCAGUAUUCCCAAUCGCCACACCUGCCCUGUGUGGUAUUUUAUCACAUACCAUGUAAUUAACUUAUUUGCUAUCUUUAGGAAAAGGGUUUUUUUUUAAAUUUUUUGUUUGCAUGUUUUGUUUUCUUUUUGCUUUUGGUAUCUCUUCCCCUGGUAGAAUGAAAGCUCCGUGAGAAAACCUAGACGAAUCUCUGAAACUUAAUGCUCAAUAAAUGUUUGUUGGUGAAUGCCUGAUUUACAGGACAGCUGAAGCAGUUUAUUAAUUUAGAAGAGCUUAUUAAUUUAGAAGUUAUCAACUAUUGUAAAACUUCCACUGCAGUUUGAAGUUUGAUGUGAUGGGUUGAAAAAAACCACAAUUAGCAAAGUGCACUCUCCUUUUUUUCUAUUUAUCUUCUAAUCACCAGUCUGCUCUGAUGCUGAUUGACACACAGAUACUGAUGUGUUGUUUCCCAUAAAUUCACAAGCCAGUGAGUCAGUCCUUCAGGUAAUAAACAGAUGGCUGUCGGCCAGGUGAGAUGAAAAGGCAUGGUUGCCAUCCUCGAGGAAUUUACGUGUAGCAUGCGUGAUUUAUUGCACUAAGGUAUAAAUAUAAGGUAUAAGAAAUAUCUUACUGGUUUGUUGUGGUGGUUUCUUGUGAUUUUUUCUGUCUCUAAAUAAAAUUAAAUCUGCUCCAUUCCCUCUG